ensembl:miRNA dre-mir-19b microRNA 19b-1
AGUUUUGCUGGUUUGCAUUCAGCUUUUAAGACUGUGCGCUGUGCAAAUCCAUGCAAAACUGA